rnacentral:ncRNA from 1 species
UAAAUUAAUUAUGUUUUUGGAAAUUUAUUANUAAAUUUAUUUUACAUAUAAAUUUUAGUAUAUAAUUUUAAUUAUUUAAAUAAUAAUUAAUUUAUUUUAGUAGUAAUUAAUAUUAAAAAUUUAAGAAAUUAAGAUUUAGUAAUAUAAAAAUUAAUAACUAAUUUUGUGCCAGCAGUUGCGGUUAAACAAAAGUUAAAUUAAAUUAUUUCAGUAUAUAAUAAAUAAUUAAAUUAUUAAAAUAAAUAUUAAAUUAUUAAGUGAAAUUUUAAUUUAAUUAAAUUUUAUUUAAAAAUUAUGAUUUAAUAAAUUUUAAUAUAAACUAGGAUUAGAUACCCUAUUAUUAAAAAUUUAAUUUAUAAUACUAAAAUAGUAAAUAAUAAUUUAUUGAAACUUAAAUAACAUGGCGGUAUUUUAGUUCAUUUAGAGGAAUCUGUCUAAUAAUUGAUAAUCCACGAAUAAAUUUACUUAAUUUAUAAUUUUGUAUAUCAUUGUUAAAAAAAUAUUUUUUAGGAAAAAUAAUAUUUAAAAAUUAUAAUAAAAAAUUAAAUCAGAUCAAGAUGCAGAAUAUAAUUAAGAAUAUGAUGGAUUACAUUAAAUAUAUUUAUAUGGAUAAUUUUAUUGUAAUAAAAAUUUGAAGGUGGAUUUAAAUGUAAUUUUAAUUAGUUUAUUAAAAUGAUUAAAAAUUAAAAUAUGUACAUAUUGCCCGUCACUUUCAUUUAAAAAUUGAAAUAAGUCGUAACAAAGUAGAGGUACUGGAAAGUGUUUCUAGAAAGAU